AACGAACGCUGGCGGCGUGCCUAACACAUGCAAGUCGAGCGCGAAAGGAGCAAUCCGAGUAGAGCGGCGCACUGGUGCGUAAUACGUGGGUAAUCUGACUCAGGGUUGAGGAUAACCUCCCGAAAGGUUGGCUAAUACUCGGUAAGCUUACGGUGACUUCGGUCGCUGUGAGAAAACUAGACCUCUAUUUAUACGUUUAGGCCCAGAGAUGAGCCCGCGGCCCAUCAGCUAGUGGGCGGGGUAACGGCCCACCAAGGCAACGACGGGUAGCUGGUCUGAGAGGACGAUCAGCCACACUGGAACUGAGACACGGUCCAGACUCCUACGGGAGGCAGCAGUGGGGAAUUUUCCACAAUGGGCGAAAGCCUGAUGGAGCAACGCCGCGUGUGUGAUGAAGGUCCUCGGAUCGUAAAGCACUUUCGACCGGGACGAAAAACCUUUGGCUAACAUCCAGGGGCCUGACGGUACCGGGAGAAGAAGCACCGGCUAACUCUGUGCCAGCAGCCGCGGUAAUAC
rnacentral:rRNA from 1 species